ensembl:scaRNA
ACUGGAGGACUAAGAAGGUGGAGUCUGUUAAGUGGGACUUUGCUGAUACCAUCCUCCUAGAAGAAGGGGAUGGAGAGAGCAGGCCAACUUAUAGAAGAGCAGAGGUCUGACUGUACCAUCCGACAUUU